ACGUCGGUAGCACAGUAGUCAAUGCAGUCUGCCUGAAACAGAAAGACGCGGGUUCAAUUCCCGUCCUGUGUC
rfam:Nippostrongylus brasiliensis genome assembly, scaffold: NBR_scaffold0001139